UUGGAGGGCAAGUCUGGUGCCAGCAGCCGCGGUAAUUCCAGCUCCAAUAGCGUAUAUUAAAGUUGUUGCAGUUAAAAAGCUCGUAGUUGAAUUUCGGAGUUUGUCGGUCGGUCGGGCUUCACUGUCCGCACUGGCCUGACGGAUUCCUACCUUCUGAAUAACCAGCAUGCUAUUAAGUUAGUGUGUUGGGGAAGCAGAGCUAUUACCUUGAAAAAAUUAGAGUGCUUAAAGCAGGCUUAUGCUUGAAUAGAUUAGCAUGGAAUAAUAAAAUAGGACGGCAUGGUUCUAUUUUGUUGGUUUCUAGGAUCACCGUAAUGAUUAAUAGGGAUAGUUGGGGGCAUUAGUAUUCAAUUGUCAGAGGCGAAAUUCUUGGAUUUAUUGAAGACUAACUUCUGCGAAAGCAUUUGCCAAGGAUGUUUUCAUUAAUCAAGAACGAAAGUUAGAGGAUCGAAGACGAUCAGAUACCGUCGUAGUCUUAACCAUAAACUAUGCCGACUAGGGAUCAGACGAUGUUAAUUUUUUAAUGACUCGUUCGGCGCCUUACGGGAAAC
rnacentral:rRNA from 1 species